rnacentral:lncRNA from 1 species
AGGAGGAUUCAAUCGAACUUAUGAUUUUAGUAAUGAUUUAUAUCAACAUAAACUUAAAGCUGACAUAACUAGAUUUCACUUUUAGCACAAGCACAUUUGAAAAGAUUUAAAUUUGGACUAUGAUGAAAAACAACAUAACUUAACGUUUAGCAACACUCUUUGUAGUGUUAUUUUGCGAGGUAUCACGGUAAAAUUGUCUAGUGAUGUAGUUAUAAAGUAAAAGAAAAUAGUAUAAACAUUAAUAAUCCAUCUGAACGUGAAUGCUACUCAAGAGGGGCCAGACAUGAUGGUGAAGGGAAACAUUUCGAUAAACACGAGUGUACAUGGUACCACGCGAGGCUGAUAUCACUCUUUACCAAACCUCCCCCCAAAUAUUUACCAAAAGAUAUAUUUUUUUUGGAAAAUAUUUACAUUUUCAUUUCAACCGUGUACAUGGUACCAGAGACAUAUAUUUUCAUUUCGAUAAAAACAUAGGAGAGUUUUACCGUGUAAAUAUUUUAUA